GCAAAGGGCGCUGGGUUCGAUCCUCAUCACCACAUAAAAAUAAAAUAUUUCAGUUGUGUCCACUGAAAACUAAAAAAUAAAUAUUAAAAAAUAAUUAGCAUGUUCAUUAUCCAAAAGAGUUUUUUGUACUACUUUAUCAUCUCUUUCUCUUAAUCACACUUAACCCUCAAAUUCCUAAGCAACCACUGAUCAAUUCUGCUACUACAGAUUAGUUUGCAUUUCCCUUAUCCUUGGAUAAAUAGGAUCACAGAUAAUGAGCUCUUUUCUGAUUUACUUCUUUUAUUGACCUAUAGUUUUAGAUUCAUCUAUGCUAUUUUUCUUACCAACAUUUGAUUUCUUUUUAUUGUUGAGUAGUAUGACAUUUAAAGAAUGUACUACAGUUUACAAGCUGUUCAUAGAUAAUCAGAAUUGUUUCCAGUUUGGGGCUAACCAGUGAGGCUUCUUGAUCAUUCUUGUAUAAGACUUUGUAUGGGAAUACACUUUCAUUUUCUUGGGAAAACACUUACAGAUAGAAUCAUAAAAUAAUAUGAAAGGCACAUAUUUAAAUUUUUAAAUUUUGCUUUUUUUUUUUUUUCUGGAUACUGGGGAUUGAACUCAGGGAAACUUACCCACUGAGCCACAUCCCAGCGCUAUUUUGUAUUUUAUUUAGAGACAGGUUUCACUGAGUUGCUUAGUGUCUUGCUUUUGCUGAGGCUGGCUUUGAACUUGUGAUCCUCCUGCCUUGGCCUGCCAAGCCACUAGGAUAACAAGCAUGUGCCACCGUGCCCAGCUAAGUUUUGCAUUCUUAAGACAGUGUAUGAGGGUUCUAGUUUAUCCACUUACUUGUCAGCACUUGAUGUAAACAGCCUUCUUAAUUUCAGCCAUUCUAAACAAGUGUAUGGUAGUGUCUUACUAUGAUUUUAAUUUAUAUUCCCUAAUGACUACCUGCAAGUAUGGGGAGCACCCUAAGACUAUGGCUCUGGGACUAAUUUCAUGAAAAUUUAUACUCAGUCUCCAGAAAUUCAUCAAGUUUACCAUCUGUUUCUUCCAAAGUCUAUGGCUCCAGGAAGAGGUCUACUAGUGAAAAGGACCACAUGGAUCCAUGGCUGUACAGGUCUACCUCCCCAAGAAGACUCUUCCCCCAACAUCUACUUCUGGGUUGUGCCCCUGGAAUCUUCUUCAACACCCUCCAGUGCCCACUUCAUUACUGUUCACCACCUGGAUCUCCAGGGCCACAAACCUAAUACAAGGCUUGGCCUAUUUUCCUGGCAUCUACUCUCCUUUGAAUGAAUAACUCCACCAUCAAGCCUCCCACACAUGACUCUCAAUAUCAGGAUCUUGCUAAUUUGCUUAGGCUGGCCUAGAACUUGCAAUCCUUCUGCCUCAGCCUCCCAUCACAGGAAUUACAGGCAUGUGUGGAUCUUCUUUUUUUCCUUUCUUUUUUAAAAUAACAGCUUUAGGAACACAUAAUUUUCAUAACAUAAAAUUCAACUUUUUAAUGUGUACAGUUCAGUGAUUUUCAGGGUACUCACAGAGAUGUGCAACCAUCACAUCAAUAUGAUUUGAGAACAUUUUCAUCAUGCUCACCCCACUCACCAAAAAAAUGCCCAUACUCAUUAAUAGUCUCUCCUUGUUCUCCCCUUCCUCCAGCCCAAAACAAUUGCUAGGCUGC